rnacentral:rRNA from 1 species
UGAGCAACCUGCCCCUGACUCUGGGAUAACCCCGGGAAACCGGAGCUAAUACCGGAUACGACACGCGAAGGCAUCUUCUGCGUGUAGAAAGAUUUAUCGGUCAGAGAUGGGCUCGCGGCCUAUCAGCUAGUUGGUGUGGGUAAUGGCCCACCAAGGCGACGACGGGUAGCCGGCCUGAGAGGGUGACCGGCCACACUGGGACUGAGACACGGCCCAGACCUCCGUACGGGAGCA